UACAGAGGGUGCGAGCGUUAAUCGGAAUUACUGGGCGUAAAGGGCGCGUAGGUGGUUUAUUAAGUGAGAUGUGAAAUCCCUGGGCUUAACCUAGGAAUGGCAUCUUAAACUGAUGAACUGGAGUACAGUAGAGGGUAGUGGAAUUUCCGGUGUAGCGGUGAAAUGCGUAGAGAUCGGAAGGAACACCAGUGGCGAAGGCGGCUACCUGGACAAUUGCUGACGCUCAGGCACGAAAGCGUGGGGAGCAAAAGGG
rnacentral:rRNA from 1 species